UUGUCACUUCCGUCAACAUGAAAAAUCUGACAAACAAGAAUCGCCUUUACUAUAUAUAAGAUUUGAUUUUCUGAGUCUAGUUGCAGAGGUUUAAUUAAUAAUUUAUCUGGGUAAAAUUCCUGAACAAAACCCAAAAUGAUCGAAUUUUGUUCUAAAAGGCGAAUGAUUUUUAUCAUUGCAAUACUUACUUGUUUAAGCAUAGUGACACUAUUCUUUGAAAAUAGAUGGUCAAAUCAACGUAUGUUAAAAGAAGCCAAGGUUGCUGCUGCAGCGCUGAUAAAUGCCAGUUGUAAUCCUGGAGUAGUUACAGUUCUUGAAACAUGUAAAAUAUGUCCUAGGGCGGAAAAUAAAAAAGAAUUAAGUUUUUGUAGACAGACUGGUUAUAAAGAAUUUGUUCAAUGUCCUGA